rnacentral:lncRNA from 1 species
CUGGUGUGCGUGGAGGACUAACGAUUUCACCCCUGUUUGUUUCUUCUUAAUAUGUUUCUGCUGAAGGGAAUACUCAGAGAACAGUUAUUACAAUAAUCAAGUGUUUUGGCAGCAGAAUCCCAUGUCACACUUGGAGCUAUUUUGGCAGUUCGUUGGUGAGCCUUUCAUUCCUCUGAAAUGAUGCGAUCCCUCCUGGCUUCCUUUCUUCCGAAUCACCCUGAAGCUAUUUAUACUGUGAAUUAUGUACUUCUGAAUACUCCUUGUCAAGAAAAUUGGUUCAGUGAAGAAGUCUUGCCUAAUUUGUGCAUUGAAGAUGCUAGAAGUAAAUGUUGGUGUUGGUGUGUGUGAAUGUGUGUGUGUCCCUGUCACACCUGUUUCCACUCUUUUUUUCUUUGUGAUCCUGGGUAUCAAACCCAGGUCCUCCCUUGUGCUAGGCAAGCGCUGUACUGCAG